GGUUAAGCGACUAAGCGUACACGGUGGAUGCCCUGGCAGUCAGAGGCGAUGAAGGACGUGCUAAUCUGCGAAAAGCGCCGGCGAGGUGAUAUGAACCCUUGACCCGGCGAUGUCCGAAUGGGGAAACCCAGUGCAAUCCGUUGCACUAUCGUUAACUGAAUACAUAGGUUAACGAGGCGAACCGGGGGAACUGAAACAUCUAAGUACCCCGAGGAAAAGAAAUCAACCGAGAUUCCCCCAGUAGCGGCGAGCGAACGGGGAGCAGCCCGGAGUCUGAAUCAGCUUGUGUGUUAGUGGAACGGUCUGGAAAGUCCGACGGUACAGGGUGAUAGUCCCGUACACGAAAAUGCACAUGCUGUGAACUCGAAGAGUAGGGCGGGACACGUGGUAUCCUGUCUGAAUAUGGGGGGACCAUCCUCCAAGGCUAAAUACUCCUGACUGACCGAUAGUGAACCAGUACCGUGAGGGAAAGGCGAAAAGAACCCCGGCGAGGGGAGUGAAAAAGAACCUGAAACCGUGUACGUACAAGCAGUGGGAGCCUCUUUAUGGGGUGACUGCGUACCUUUUGUAUAAUGGGUCAGCGACUUAUAUUCUGUAGCAAGGUUAACCGUAUAGGGGAGCCGAAGGGAAACCGAGUCUUAACUGGGCGUUAAGUUGCAGGGUAUAGACCCGAAACCCGGUGAUCUAGCCAUGGGCAGGUUGAAGGUUGGGUAACACUAACUGGAGGACCGAACCGACUAAUGUUGAAAAAUUAGCGGAUGACCUGUGGCUGGGGGUGAAAGGCCAAUCAAACCGGGAGAUAGCUGGUUCUCCCCGAAAGCUAUUUAGGUAGCGCCUCGUGAAYUCAUCUUCGGGGGUAGAGCACUGUUUCGGCUAGGGGGCCAUCCCGGCUUACCAACCCGAUGCAAACUACGAAUACCGAAGAAUGUUAUCACGGGAGACACACGGCGGGUGCUAACGUCCGUCGUGAAGAGGGAAACAACCCAGACCGCCAGCUAAGGUCCCAAAGUCAUGGUUAAGUGGGAAACGAUGUGGGAAGGCACAGACAGCCAGGAUGUUGGCUUAGAAGCAGCCAUCAUUUAAAGAAAGCGUAAUAGCUCACUGGUCGAGUCGGCCUGCGCGGAAGAUGUAACGGGGCUAAACCAUGCACCGAAGCUGCGGCAGCGACACUAUGUGUUGUUGGGUAGGGGAGCGUUCUGUAAGCCGUUGAAGGUGUGCUGUGAGGCAUGCUGGAGGUAUCAGAAGUGCGAAUGCUGACAUAAGUAACGAUAAAGCGGGUGAAAAGCCCGCUCGCCGGAAGACCAAGGGUUCCUGUCCAACGUUAAUCGGGGCAGGGUGAGUCGACCCCUAAGGCGAGGCCGAAAGGCGUAGUCGAUGGGAAACAGGUUAAUAUUCCUGUACUUGGUGUUACUGCGAAGGGGGGACGGAGAAGGCUAUGUCAGCCGGGCGACGGUUGUCCCGGUUUAAGCAUGUAGGCGGAGGUUCCAGGUAAAUCCGGUACCUURUUAACGCUGAGGUGUGAUGACGAGGCACUACGGUGCUGAAGUGAUAAAUGCCCUGCUUCCAGGAAAAGCCUCUAAGCAUCAGGUAACACGAAAUCGUACCCCAAACCGACACAGGUGGUCAGGUAGAGAAUACCAAGGCGCUUGAGAGAACUCGGGUGAAGGAACUAGGCAAAAUGGUGCCGUAACUUCGGGAGAAGGCACGCUGAURUGUAGGUGAAGCCCCUGCGGGCGGAGCUGAAAUCAGUCGAAGAUACCAGCUGGCUGCAACUGUUUAUUAAAAACACAGCACUGUGCAAACACGAAAGUGGACGUAUACGGUGUGACGCCUGCCCGGUGCCGGAAGGUUAAUUGAUGGGGUUAGCGGCAACGCGAAGCUCUUGAUCGAAGCCCCGGUAAACGGCGGCCGUAACUAUAACGGUCCUAAGGUAGCGAAAUUCCUUGUCGGGUAAGUUCCGACCUGCACGAAUGGCGUAAUGAUGGCCAGGCUGUCUCCACCCGAGACUCAGUGAAAUUGAACUCGCUGUGAAGAUGCAGUGUACCCGCGGCAAGACGGAAAGACCCCGUGAACCUUUACUAUAGCUUGACACUGAACACUGGUCCUUGAUGUGUAGGAUAGGUGGGAGGCUUUGAAGCGUGGACGCCAGUCUGCGUGGAGCCRACCUUGAAAUACCACCCUUUAAUGGCUGGUGUUCUAACGUAGACCCGUAAUCCGGGUUGCGGACAGUGUCUGGUGGGUAGUUUGACUGGGGCGGUCUCCUCCCAAAGAGUAACGGAGGAGCACGAAGGUUGGCUAAUCCUGGUCGGACAUCAGGAGGUUAGUGCAAUGGCAUAAGCCAGCUUGACUGCGAGCGUGACGGCGCGAGCAGGUGCGAAAGCAGGUCAUAGUGAUCCGGUGGUUCUGAAUGGAAGGGCCAUCGCUCAACGGAUAAAAGGUACUCCGGGGAUAACAGGCUGAUACCGCCCAAGAGUUCAUAUCGACGGCGGUGUUUGGCACCUCGAUGUCGGCUCAUCACAUCCUGGGGCUGAAGUAGGUCCCAAGGGUAUGGCUGUUCGCCAUUUAAAGUGGUACGCGAGCUGGGUUUAGAACGUCGUGAGACAGUUCGGUCCCUAUCUGCCGUGGGCGCUGGAGAAUUGAGGGGGGCUGCUCCUAGUACGAGAGGACCGGAGUGGACGCAUCACUGGUGUUCGGGUUGUCAUGCCAAUGGCACUGCCCGGUAGCUAAAUGCGGAAGAGAUAAGUGCUGAAAGCAUCUAAGCACGAAACUUGCCCCGAGAUGAGUUCUCCCUGAGACUUUAAGUCUCCUGAAGGAACGUUGAAGACGACGACGUUGAUAGGUCGGGUGUGUAAGCGCAGCGAUGCGUUGAGCUAACCGAUACUAAUGAACCGUGAGGCUUAACCUU
rnacentral:rRNA from 1 species